CCUACGGGAGGCAGCAGUGGGGAAUAUUGCACAAUGGGGGAAACCCUGAUGCAGCGACGCCGCGUGAGCGAUGAAGUAUUUCGGUAUGUAAAGCUCUAUCAGCAGGGAAGAAAAUGACGGUACCUGACUAAGAAGCCCCGGCUAACUACGUGCCAGCAGCCGCGGUAAUACGUAGGGGGCAAGCGUUAUCCGGAUUUACUGGGUGUAAAGGGAGCGUAGACGGUCCUGCAAGCCAGAUGUGAAAGCCCGGGGCUCAACCCCGGGACUGCAGUUGGAACUGUAAGGCUAGAGUGUAGGAGAGGCAGGCGGAAUUCGUGGUGUAGCGGUGAAAUGCGUAGAUAUUAGGAGGAACACCAGUGGCGAAGGCGGCCUGCUGGACGAUGACUGACGUUGAGGCUCGAAAGCGUGGGGAGCAAACAGGAUUAGAUACCCGUGUAGUC
rnacentral:rRNA from 1 species